UAAUGAGACUGCCGGGUGACAAACCGGAGGAAGGUGGGGAUGACGUCAAGUCCUCAUGGCCCUUAUAGGUGGGCUACACACGUCAUACAAUGGCUGGUACAAAGGGUUGCCAACCCGGCGAGGGGGAGCCAAUCCCAUAAAGCCAGUCGUAGUCCGGAUCGCAGUCUGCAACUCGACUGCGUGAAGUCGGAAUCGCUAGUAAUCGCAGGUCAGCAUACUGCGGUGAAUACGUUCCCGGGUCUU
rnacentral:rRNA from 1 species